UGGCUUUGGCAUCGAUGAAGAACGCAGCGAAAUGCGAUAAGUAAUGUGAAUUGCAGAAUUCAGUGAAUCAUCGAAUCUUUGAACGCACAUUGCGCCCAUUAGUAUUCUAGCGGGCAUGCCUGUUCGAGCGUCAUUUCAACCCUCAGGCCUUAGUUGUCUGGUGUUGGGGCAUCUACAGCGAUGUAGGCCCCGAAAAGCAGUGGCGGUGCUCUCCAGCACUCCGGGCGCAGUAGUUUAUUCUCGCCUAGGACGUCUGGUAGGCUGCUGGCCGUAAAACCCCCUAUAUCUCAAAGGUUGACCUCGAAUCAGGUAGGAAUACCCGCUGA
rnacentral:misc_RNA from 1 species